rnacentral:sRNA from 1 species
UACAUUCUAUCAUGAUGCAAUGCAAAU